rnacentral:rRNA from 1 species
AGAGUUUGAAUCCUGGCUCAGGAUGAACGCUGGCGGUCUGCUUAACACAUGCAAGUCGAACGGAUGUCUUCGGACAUUAGUGGCGGACGGGUGAGUAACGCGUGAGGAUCUGCCCUCAGGAUGGGGACAACAGUUGGAAACGACUGCUAAUACCCGAUGUGCCGAGAGGUGAAACUAUUUGGCCUGAGGAUGAGCUCGCGUCUGAUUAGCUAGUUGGAGUGGUAACGGCACACCAAGGCGACGAUCAGUAGCUGGUCUGAGAGGAUGAUCAGCCACACUGGGACUGAGACACGGCCCAGACUCCUACGGGAGGCAGCAGUGGGGAAUUUUCCGCAAUGGGCGAAAGCCUGACGGAGCAAGACCGCGUGGGGGACGAAGGUUUGUGGAUUGUAAACCCCUUUUGAUUGGGAAGAAGUUCUGACGGUACCAAUCGAAUCAGCAUCGGCUAACUCCGUGCCAGCAGCCGCGGUAAUACGGAGGAUGCAAGCGUUAUCCGGAAUUAUUGGGCGUAAAGCGUCCGUAGGUGGUUAGGUCAAGUCAGUUGUUAAAGCGUGGGGCUUAACCCAUAAACGGCAAAUGAAACUGACUAGCUAGAGUGCGAUAGGGGCAAGGGGAAUUCCAGUGUAGCGGUGAAAUGCGUAGAU